UACGGAGGGGGCUAGCGUUGUUCGGAAUUACUGGGCGUAAAGCGCACGUAGGCGGCUUUGUAAGUUAGAGGUGAAAGCCCGGGGCUCAACUCCGGAAUUGCCUUUAAGACUGCAUCGCUAGAAUUGUGGAGAGGUAAGUGGAAUUCCGAGUGUAGAGGUGAAAUUCGUAGAUAUUCGGAGGAACACCAGUGGCGAAGGCGACACGCUGGGCCGUACCUGACACUGAACCGCGACAGCAUGGGGAGCAAACAGG
rnacentral:rRNA from 1 species